AUUACUGAUACAGUGAAAUUGCUACUUACAUGCAACACAACAGCACUAUGCUUCCCUGAGCUGCAUUGUAAUAAUGUCUUAUUGUAUGCAUGUGAUGUAGGGUGUGUUGCAGGUUAAAAUGUAAAUGGUUCCAGUGCACUUGGAUGAGCAUCACAUAUGGAAAUUUGCAUUGGCACAAUUAAGUUUUUGUUUGUUAUAGUCUUAAUGUUGCUAAGCUACAGAAGGAAAUGGAUCAUGCUGAGGAAAUCUACAAGUUGCUGACUGUUUGCACAGAAUCUUUUUAAAUGUUACACUAAUCGUAUGCUAUAGCUUAGCUUUUAUUUAGUGUAAAUAGAAUGGGUACAUUUUAAAUGCUUCCAUCUUGGUUUAGAAAUAUUCCUGUCUUUACUUGUUAUGAGAAUACUUGCACCUAAAAAUAGCAGAACAAACAGGCUUGGAUCAGACGCUUUGUCAAAGAAGUUUGGUUGGACAUGUACAGACGUGAAUACGAUCAACUCCUGUAUGGUGUGAAAGAACAAUUUGGGUUUUUUAAAAGAAUUACAGUUGCUUCCAUUCGUAUCUAAAUAAACAGGACAGCCCAAAUUCAAACCUGCAAAUAAACACAGGCUGAAAUACCUCAUGUUAAUAAUAUUGCCUCCUAAGGUGAAGUGCUUGGCUUCCUCCCCUCCAUGAAUUCCCAGGGCAGCCAUGAAUUAUUGGAGCUUGAAAUAUACACGUUAAGUGCAUAUGGUUUUAUAGGCUGACAAAAUGGCUAAUGCCAUUCAAAAGGAGGAAGGCGAAAUCUUCACCUCAAGUUGGAAUAGAAGCAAUCUGUGAAUUCUUCUUUCUAUCCAUAGCUUUCCCCAAGAACAUUUCAUGGUAUUUUUGUAAAACUACAAAAGAGGGCUCCAUUACCUUUUGUCUUUUAUUCUUGAAUUCACCAUAGAUUUAGUUUAUUUCUGUGAUAACAUAAGCCUGUAUUUGGUGCGAAACUACAAAAAAUGUCACAGGAAGGAAAUAAGGCCACAGCUUCGACCAUGUGUUUUCCCUUAAUCCUCUUGUUUUUAGUAGUUAAUGUAAAAAAAAAAAAAUCUUACUGUAGAUAGCAAAAUGUUUAAUAUAAUAGUAAAGUAAGUAUAAAUGUCUAAUAUUUACGAGUUGUAGUAAAAAUAUUUCACACAAUUGAUACAUGUAUUGUUUAUACUCCUGAAAAAAUGCAAGAUUUGAGUCUGAAAGUACCGUACGGGUUCUGAAACUGUCUGUACCCAGAUCAAUAUCCACAGCUUGCUUGCACUGCAGACGAGCGUCUUUGUAUUAUUCUGUUGUUUCAGCUUACUUGGCAGUGCCUUACUUCAGAGGACAAGGAGUGUUUUGAAGAGUAACAGACUUUUCACUCGCAUUUCCUAAAUGAAAGAUUAAUUCUAUAACAGUUCUAAACUAAUGAGUCAAGUCUAAUGAAGUAGAUACAGUUGUGUUAAAUUCUACAAAAGUAUCAUUAUCAAACUUCGAUCUUGUGUGUUGUAUAAAAUAUAUGGUUUUCAUUUCAGGGCAAAUUAGAGGAGAUAGUUAUAUGGUAUCUCUUACAGACCCAAUUAAAAUUACACUUAAUAUUAAAAUCAUUUAUUAAUUAUUUCUCAGCAAAUAAUUCAUCCUCAAAUGGAUCCAUUCUCCUUUAGCAGAAGAAAGCUACUACUUGGCAAAUAAGGACUUGAAGUAAACUCAGUAUUUACCAUGUAGCAAAAUAUUAUGAAUCAAUUAUUUAAGCCAUUGUUAUAUUUUAAGUCCAUGAGUGUAUCUUCUUAGAUGAUUUAUUUCAUGGAUGCUUAGACAUGCCAUUCAGUAUCACAUGGGAGUUGGAUCAGGAAUUAAUUUGUGGCUCUUAAAUAUUAGAUAGUUUUAAUUUCCUAGAAGGAAUAAGAACCCAUAUGUGCUAAUAAAUACAUAGGUGAGGAUUUCUUGACCCUAAGGAUGCAAAAAAUCAGUACACGGUUAGCUCAUGAGGCGCCUCAGUCAGAGCCAGUAAUGAACCCACUACACACACCACAUGGUUUCAAUUACAGCUCUAUGAGACUAGACGGCAUGGUGCCAGAAGCAAAAGAUUGAAACAAUUUAAAUGAUUCUCUUCUUCAUGGUUCAGAUACUUGAGCCUCUGCUUUCUGCUCCCUUUUUAAUGUUCUCUUUUAUCUGUGCAGAACUCAAACCCAGAAAGUAGGAAUUCAGAGUUUGAAUAUGUAGGAUGUCAUCUUGUUAAAGAGUGCUGUAGUAGAUCGAUUCAUUAUUUGUUGUGUAAUAGUUGCCUUCAGUCUGUAUGCUCAAGGUCAGCAAGAGAUUUUGGAAAAGGUCUAAUUUUUCCCAGUCAGCAUAAGAGAAGUUCUUUUAAUCAGUGCUUUGCAACAUCGAGGUUGUGGUCCCCUUUCCUGUGACGACCCAGCAGCUGAAGUGCUGGCAGCCGCAGCAGUGCCAGUUUGUUACCUCUCCACGGGUUGGGGGCUGCUGCUUGUGCCACCUGGGAGGAUGCUGCAGGGUCUGUUCAUGCUCAAGGCAUCUCACUGGCCAGUGCUCCUCUGAAAAUUGAAUCAGUUGUUGUUAGCAUGUGGGGGCCUCCUGACCAGGACUUGUUGGGUUCCUCUGCCGCCUCCUUACCCCCGCCAGCCUGCUGGCACAUGCACUGCAUUUGGAUUCCACUCAGUUUGGGAUGUUUCUGUUAUUAGUGCUCCACUUUAGUCAGUGCAGACUAUUUUAGUGAUGAAUUAUGGGAAAGCCUGGAUUUGCAAUAUCUUCUCAGAUUCUUUGCCUGCAACAAUGAGCUUUUUCAAGAUUAUGCAUCAUCUUCUUCUGGUGGGGAUCCUGUAGUUGCAUAGCAACUGAUAUUUUGGCAUUGCCAUACACUGUAUGAAAGAGGCUGUGUGCAGAGCCAUCUGUCCUGGGAUGCCCAACAAAGAAGGGGCAUCAUGGCAUUCAGGGUAUACAGAGCCAUCCUACAGACCUCUUCUGUGGGGAUUCGCCUUUACUAUAGAGCCAGUGGCCGAGGAAUGGAAAGAGAAUGCAUCACUUUGUCAAGUGCCAUUACGUGUUUUCUAUAGCCUUUGAGUUCACAUUUAAAGGAAGCAAUGCUUUCUGAUAUCCUCAGAAUUUUUUAUACAGGCUGUUUAGGCAUAAUAGAUUUCCAUUUGUAAAGCUUGUUAAGGUGGAAGAAUAAUAUAGUCAGGCUUCCAAUUGCAACUCAGCUGAAUUAUUGUUGUAAUGAUUGAAUGAAAUAGGAAUUGUAGGGUGUUUAGUAUUUUUCUUAAAAUGAGACCAUCUAUUGUAAUUGAAGGUAUGCAGAUGUGUGCAGAAGGUGUGUGCAGAAGGCCUUGAUGUGUAGGUUGCCAGAUUUUGCUUUAUAUAAAGCUUAUUUUCUUUGUACAGCUGGAGCAAAUGAAUCAGAAAAUAUUGAAAAGGUAAUCCCUUAUUUGUCUACCUACAUAAGCAUUUUACAGCAUUUUGCAUUAUAAAGUAAGUUAUGUUGAUGCUUACAAAAUCCAGGGAUGCAUACUUGCUUUUAAAAAGUCAUUUUAUGUUGCAUUUAAUCAAACUCGUUUCGUCGGAGUCGCUUAUGUUUAAUUUUCACUUUCACAAAGGACUACAUCAUUAAGGUCUUAUAGGAAUCAGUCAUAUUAUAGGAAUGGUCCUGAGUAGAGAGAUAAUAUAUAGAAAAGAAAAAAAAAAAAAUCAUAGAGUGACUGCUGUUUAAUGCUGGAGGCUGCCUAGGAGUUUCCAGGCAAACUAAUAGCUUGAGGAAACUCCUGUUGAAUGAAAAGAGAAAAAUCUCAGAAACCAUAAUCACCAUUCUUAGACUUCUUAUAAAGCAAUCACCAGAUUAUUAACAUGUAGACACUUGGAGAAUACAGAGUUGUGUAUCAAUUUGUGGCAAGAAUUCUAAAUUGCAGUGUCUUUUCUGCCUCUGUUACCUUCACUUGUCAAGUUAUGAAGUCUCUGGUAUUCCCUUACACUUAACCAUCACUAGCUUUUGCCUUCUGUAUGGAAUACAUGGAUUCCCAAUUUUUCUAAAGCAAUUAUCUUAAUACUUUCUAUUACUGCCAUUGCACUUGCCCUCUCCUAUUGGAAGAUUUGUCAGCUGUAGAUGUACAAUGUAUAUUAGAUGUUCUUGAGCUAACUUUUUGUGGCCCAUAUGCACCCUCAUGUAAGACGGCUCUUCUGUUGCUCCCAGAAAGUCUAUGUUUGUUAAUAUAUGUAUACACCUUUUUUUUGCAAUACCAGACUAUGACCUGACAUCUAAGUUCUGUCAUUCUUGAUUUCUGUUCUGUGUUUCUCAAAUUGGCAUAUAUCAUUUUCAAGUAGUGUAACUUCAAUUUUAUAAAAAAUGCUUGUAUCAUAAAAUGUGGGAUCAGCAUGAGAGCUCUGUUUCAUCUCUGCUAAUUUAAAUUAGGUCCAACUGUUUCUUCUUGAUCUUCUGUUAAACAUUGUCAGGUAACUGUGUGUUUCCUUUUUUCUGGGAGAUAGUUUUGACUUCUGAAAAAGGUUGAGAGUAAAUAACAAAAAAAAAUAAAAAAAAAAAAGUAAGGUGACCUGACUUGGGAGGCCCAUGGGGAAUUUGAAGUGGUUUUGGUCUUCAGGCAGAAGCCUUUAUGUCUACUGUAUGUCUCUGCUUACUUCGGUAACUUUCAUUUUGCAGUCUUCAUCACAGAAUUUUUUUUUUAUGUAUUUCUACAUAAAAUAUGUAAUUCUCAGCUUAUCUGUAACUUUGAAAAAAAUGACACUUAAAAAAAACUUUAAAAUAAAUCAUCAGUUUAAUUUCUACUAGAAACAUCAAGUUAAGAUAAAAUGGAUUCAUCUGUACUUCUGAAAACAAAAGAAGAGAAAGUAACAGAGAAACAAGUCUCUGUUCUGUGUGAAAGAGAAUACUUAAUCACACAUCAGCAGAGAAUUAAAAAACAUAGCAGUACAUGAAAGUAUUCUUUUUUCCUUCACUGAACAAAUUAAUUGCUAGCAAUGAGAAAACUACAAAGUGCUGUUUAAAAAUAAAAAAUACAUAUCUUAAGUUUAAUAAACAGGAGCUAGCGUAGCUAAAAUGAAACACCAAAAAUCAACUAGCAACUAGCUAUUGGUUUUGAGUCUCACCAGCUUGAAAUAAAUAUCAAACAGCUUUCUUGUAAAAACAAAUUUGUGAGGUAAUUCUACACACAUGAUUUUCUGAGACAGACUCGGGGUAAAAGCUUCAGUGUAAGUGUCAAAUGGACACUCUCUCCAGUUAAAUUCAUUUCAUAGCUGAAAUGUGGCCAGACAGAGACAUCAUAAACCGCUUGAAGAUACUCCUUGCAAUGUUCCUCAUAAUAUUAAUGUUAUUAUGGUUUUGUAAGAUAGGUAGGAAUAAUAUUAAGUACUCACCAGGAAGUAGCUUUUGUCUGUCACCAGAGAUGCUGACAAUAGUAGGAAAGAGGUAAAGGCAAGAAAUCAUUAUCAUGUGGGUGAGGAGGAUGCAGGAUAAUUACCACCUUAUCCCCUUAUACUGACCUACAAGAAACCAGUAGGUUGCAGAAAUGUAAGGGAUAUAAGCCUAUCUUGCACCUGGGGGUCUCUGAGAAAUUGCAACAUUUAUGCUUUGCAGUCAUCCUUCCUUUUUGGUGAUAGGUUGACCUUAAACAUGAUACUCAAAGAAUAAUCACUGAAGUAAAUAGAUAUGCUCAUUCAAAUCUAGCUUAAGUAAUAAUGAUAAUGCGUUCACAAAAUGCAUGACUGUGGACUGGGCUGAAAACUCCUUCAGGAAAAAAAGAAAAACCCUUCAGAAUUUCUGGUCAGCAUGUUGCCAAUGCAUGCUGAAUGCCUCCCACAUCCCGAGAGGGACAGUAAUGAGAGAGGAGGUGCAGCCAAGGCACGUCUGGGCUCAGCCGUGUUAAGUGAGUGCAUAAUAACCCAAGGGAGAAUCGUUACCAGCCAACACAAGCAGGAAGUUGUUCUGCCAUUUGUGGAGAUGAAAAUUGGUUGAGGAGUAAGAGUACCGAAAAAUUGUGGAAUUUGCCCUUAUUUCUGUAUCUGAUUGUAUUUAGGAGAUAUUUCUCAGUCAUAUUUGUCCACCGAUUUUUUUCAAAUUCUGUAAAAAAUUACCCUGUAAUGUCUGAGGAUACUUACGAAAGAAUUUGACUGUUGCAAAUUUUCCCUAAAACAUUUAAAAAAAAAAAAAAAGAGAGAGAGAGAAAUGCACAUUUUAUUCAGUUAACUGUGCAUGUGUGAAGUGCUGUGAUGUGAUACGCUACUGGUAUUUUCAGCAACAUAGGAAGGGGAUUUUUUCUGUCAUGCUACACACAGUUCAUUAGACUCUAAUGGAUCGCAACAGAUCAGAUCUCAUGACUAAAAUUUUGUGCCAAGUUAGUUUAUCUGUGAUGCCAGUUUAAUUGUCCUGAACCACCUCAAUGCUGAAAGAUAGUUUAUUAAAAAGAAAAAUGUAUGGCAAAAUGGAGCUUUGUGUGUUGUUCACAGUCUGGAUGAGUAAUGGGGACUCACGUUGCUAACUAUUGUAAUCUGUUUCUGUUCACUGAGCAACACCCAUUGGCUUUCUGAGGUGGUUUUUUGUGGUAUUCUGUCAAUAUUGUUUAUAGCAAAUCAGAAGUCUAUUGUAUGGUUUAGUUUCAAGUAUUUAUUUUAAGCUUCCAAUUGGGGUGGUUUUGACUUCUACUAGUGAGGGCUGGCAGCAAUUGAUGAAAAAAAGAUUAGAUUACUGCUUAAUGAUGACGUCUUCAAAAGCCCUGGAGUGACUGAGGGAGAUAAGUCCCGUGGAAAAUCAAUGAAACUUAGGCUCCAAAGACAGUUAGGUGAGUAGAAAAUGUUGCUCUAAUGACCUAAAUGUUCAUUCUCUCUCCUGCUAUCUCAGUGGUAAUAUACAAGAGAGAAUGGGUCUGUGUAAAAAUAUCUGGUAUCCCUGAACAUUUUUAGCCUCUUAAAAAUCUGAGUGCUAGAUCUUUGUCUGAUUACUAUCUCUUGUUCUACCUGACUUAAGCAGCAGUGAGAUACAUCAUUUUUUGGUGUAGAAACUGAAGAAAAAGUCUUUAAAGAAAGUAGUAGCUAUUCAUAUAGCAAAGAAAAAGGUCUUAAUUUAAACAAUGCACAUUAUUAGCUAGUUGUAUUCUUAAAGUUCUUGGUUUUGUAACCCCCAAAAGGUUGUUCUUUACUACUGAUGAUCAUUUCAUAAAUGUACUUGAUGUCUGUUCCCGUCAUACAAAGAGGGCACAGUUCUCUCUUGCAGCUUGCUAGGCAUCACAGAUUUCCAAUUCCUACGUGGUGGUUUGAAUUCAGCCCCCUGAAUCAUUUAUGUGGUUAUUAGAUUUCUAUCAUGUGAACCCUACUGGGAAUCUUGUUAUUCUCCUUUUCUGGCCUCUUAUGCAUUAAGAAGAUGUGUUUGCUGCUACUACUCCCAUGGCACAAGAAGGAAGGGGAAGAGGCUGGAUUUCAGUCCUGGUAAUGUUGUUUUUCAAGAGAGAAAUGAAGAAGAGUUUAGUCAUGUGCAAAGUUGUGUGUGUGGACAGCAAUGCAACAGACAUGUUGCCUUGAUAUUAAUCUAUCUCUACCUUAUAGCUGUCUGUUAAGCCAUAUUCCUCUGUUACAGAACAAAUAAUGGAUUAAAGGCUUGUUUUCUGCCCUAUUAUUAGGUGGUACAGCACAGGAACUGUUCCUACUCUUUCAUAUUCUGCUAAUUUCAACCUUUUUUCUUUUUUUUUCUUUAUAAAGAUCAUAUAUUUUUGUAACACAUUGAGUUCCUAUUAUAACAAGUAGAUAUGAGGGAGUACAUCAACCAGUGAAUUACCUGACACAUGGCUGUGAUACAGCUGACACACGAAAGAGAAAAUUAGUAUCAGAGAUGUGGGAGCAAGAGCUGUCCCUUUUAAAGAUAUGUAAGCCUUUUUGUUAGCAGGCAUUGUAGGAAUUAACGUGACUCAAUGACAAAGUGACACAUCAUUCAACUGAUGUUCUAACUUCAGACAAUCUCUCUGUUCAAUGCAAAAAACAAAGGAAAGUCUGGAGAAAUCUCAAAGAUCUGAUCACUAUUAAUGUAACUGAGAUGCUAUCUAUAGCCAAGGCAGGUGUGCACACAAUGGCUCCGUUUGGUGCAUUUCUGGAGCACACGAUGUUAGAAGUGAAGCUGUGGGAACUGGAUUUGUUCUUGCUUAAUAAGAGACCUUAUUUGUGUUCACAUCUACCCAACUGGGAGAGUGUGGGGAACAGACUUCUUCUCAGUGGAUACAGUUUUACAACUGUAAAAUAAAAGGCAGUGGAUGCAAACUGGAACAUGAGAAAUUUGAAUGUGACACCAAAAAAAACCCAAAGUUUUACCGUGAGCAUGGUCAAGUACUGGAACAGGUUGCCCGGAGAGGUACUUCGUACUGUCUGUCCUUGGCAACACUUGGAGCUUGGCUGGAUGAUGUCUCGAGCAUCCUGCUGCUUGUGGACCUCCUUUGAACAGCAGGUUGGACUAGAUGGUCUCUGGAGUUCUUUUCUAAUAAACAGGAUUUUAUGAAUGUUCGGUAUAUUCAUGUGUUUGAAGAAGUUAAUGUCUAGGUUUGCUUAUACUAGCUAGUGUAAUUUUUUGCUGCUUUGGAUUUAAAAAAAAACUAUAUUUGCACUUAGGCUUUGGGUUUUUCUUCCAUGGCAGUGGCACAGGAAAGCUCAGUGGAUAGCUGUAGUGCAAAUUCAUUGGUUUCUCAGUAGGGCUAGAAACGCAGCGGUGCACUAAAUGAGUUCCUAGGUCUGCUGAGUACUGGCAUUUGCACAAAUGAGAAAUGCUCAUUGUGGAUAGUAACUCCUGUUUUAAGGUAGUUACAUAGCAUCAAAUUUAAUAACUAACUUUUCUUCCCUUAGUAUCACUUUGCUGCCAUUAUUACAAACACUUGCAUUAUAGUCAGGAGAGGGAACAGAGAGACAGGAAGAGAUUUGCCCAAGACUGCAAGUGGCUGUCAUUGAGUCGGGUAAUAAAGCUGGGAGUCAUGAAUUCUGUGUGUACUGCUGCUCAGUCCAUCGCCUGUCCUUCAUUCAGACCAGCACGGAGACAGAACAAAACUACUCCAUUUUGUGAUGGUGCUUCAUAUAUUUUUAUGGUGAACAUUCUGAAAUAUGUUUCAAACAGUAGGGGAAAGUGUGCAUAGCUGCAUUGAUCAAACUAAAUGAUUUGAUGCAUGAAAGCAAAUCUUAUCUUAAUUGCAGCUUGCUUGUGAAGGAUGGAUGCUUGAAACUGAAUACUCAAUUGUCUGUUCAGCAGUUUCUUUUUGUCUAGUUUGGUACACUGACCUUACCUCUUGUCAUGAAUUCAGAUUCAGUUGGGAUAAGAAUUGUAGUGCAAGACUGCAAUGAAUUUCACCAUCUCCAUAUGUCAUUUUUACCUGCGUAUCAAAUCAUCUUGCUACCUGAGUAUUAACUGUGAUAAACUUGCUGUUAUUGUGUCAUUACACUUCUAUAAAGCUUUAAUCCAAUUGUAAUAAAGAUAUACAAGUAAAAAAAACAGGGAAGAAUUGGAAGAAAAUUGUAAGGGUUUGCUUUGUUGUUUUUUUGGUUUUUUUGUAGAAAUGGUUGAGUGUUUUCUUACAGGAUUAAGAAAUUAUCUUAAUGAUUUAAGUCUGUGGGGAAAUAUGAGGUCUGGGGGUAACUGUAGUCUCGUGUUUUAUUAAAAAAGGUUACUCUGUACAAAUACUUCUGGUAAAGCAGGGAUUCCUCUUAAACGAAGAAUAUAAAAGCUAACAUUUGUUGAGAUGUAAUGAUUCAUUUGAAUGACCAAUUUUCUUAAUGUUUUUUUUUUAAACUCUGAUCAUAAAAUGAUUAAUAGUUUAAUCCAGCCUGCUUUUAUAUUACAUUCUAAUUCUGCUUUAUAUAUUCUCCUAUGUCACAGAGCUGAAAGUUCAAAUUGGAUUCAUUUUCAUUACCAAGUUAGGGGUGGAGAGCUGUAAAUUAUUCACCUCCACUGAGGAGAACACAUUUAUAAAUCUGUUCGAAGGAAAGAAAGCCCAUUCACAUUCUGUUCACUCCUAUAAGCAAGAGACCUAUUUUUUUCAAAGUAAAUUCUUCUAAAAUGUCUUAAACGCUGCUUUUGCUGGAAAUACUAAAAACUAGUUUAAUUAAGACAAUCAGUACGGACGCUCUGUGUGUAUCAGUAGGUCCUGUGAUCAAUAACAUGAUCCUCUGAAAUGACAUGCCUUGGUUCUUCUACGUAAUGAUUGCUGGGGUUUGAGUUUGUUGUUCCUUUAACAUAGAUACAAAAAUAUUCUAUGAAUGCAAUAGGAGGUUGCUUUGAAAGUUCGUAAGACCUUGUAAGAAUAUCUGUGCGCGGAAAAGAAGAAUUAGAACCAGAGUUUCUGUGUGUUGACAUAAAUGAACCAUUUUUGUUUUGAAAGCCCUUUGGCUUAAACAGCCUGAAAAAAUGCUUGAAGUUAAUAGAACCUAUAACAGUUGUCAAAUUGUAGAAUAGCUUUUAAGUAUUUACCUUAUAUAGGAUGGAUCUUAUAAGAUCCAGAGUGAAAACCAAACACUGGGCUAUACGUUUUUGUUACUAAUUCAUGUUAACUUUUUUGGAAGAUAUAGCAAUAUUUUUUUUGUAUUCCUUUAGCUAUUAUUUUUUAUAUUCAGAAUGUCAUUUUGAAAUCCUGUGCUAGGAAUUUUCAUUUUAUAUAGGUCACUCUGAAAGUAACGCCUCCUAUUUAUUUCCAUGGAAAAUGCAACAAAUGCAAAGAACACAAUAACACUUUUUGAUAGAGCAAAUUCUCAGCUGCAAAAUGCUAUUCUUCAGCAAAGUCAGUAGCACUAGAUAUGUCUUUUCGCCAGCAAUGAGCAACAGCCAACAUGCCGUGCUAAUACUCAUACAGGACAGUGAGAUCAGUUAGGCCAAAUUCUUAGUUCAGAUAUUUAUUUAUAUUUUAAAUUUGGAAUAGUUCUGUUGACUUAAUGCUCAAAACUCAGAGUCAAAUUGAUCAGUUUCUCUCCAACUGUGUAGAGAAUAUAUUUAACAGCGAUAAGCUCUGAAAUAAAAACAAAACAGGCUUUAAUUUUUCCAAGAUAAGGUGAGCCACUCAAUCAUUCUUACACAUGAAAUAUUUUAAAUACCUGCCUGUUCAGCUUUUUGUGACUCACUUAACUGUUCUGUUCCAGCUUUGUAUAUAAAGAAUGACAUGUUCCCUGACAUCUAGGUUAAGGUGAAGCUAUUGUAUCUGUCAGUUAACCUCUUUUUUGUCAGCCUGCCAUGCUGAUAAUUUUCUGUAUGUGAUAGAGUCAUAACGUAUUCUCUGUCCUCUGGCAGAAUGAAGAGUUAGGUUUGCCAUUGAGUAUGAAGAUGUUUUCCCAUUUUCUCCACAAACAAAUAUGCUAGAAUGUGUCUGUUUUAUAAACCGUAUCCCAACACGUCCAAAGUAUGAAGCAUACUUUCUUCCCUUCUUAAAAGUGAUUUACUUUGUGCAAACUUGGUUAAUGAAGUACAGCAUAAACUACUUAUUUAGUAGUCAUUAUCAUGCAGUAUUUAUUAGUGACAAUGUUCCUGAGAAAGGAAUGACUUAAAUGCAUUGUAAGGUAUUUCAUAAAUAUAUAAGCUUGUGUCACUUUGUAUAUGUUUUCAACAUAUUUCAUUUCUUUACAGCUUGAAUAUUAAACUAGUGACAUUUAAAGUGUCUUCUCCCAUAGGUUGUGGCAUCUAGUAGGUUAUUUGGUUUAAGGGAAUUAUGCUUAAUCGCAGAUUUAUGUUCCACCCAGAGAUUCAAAUGCUAUUGAGCUCUGUGAUAUAUGAAUGAUUGCAGAUUUUCAAAAGAGGAUAGUUUUUGAAGGUGUCUGUGUGUUAAGCUAAAUUUUUGAAUUAAUAGGAACAUCAAAGAUGCAGAAUCUGGGUCAGAGAAAGACCUCAACAGUUUUGCUGUUUGAAGCCUUUCAUUCUUGACCUCCAGGACUGCAAUAAACUUUUAAAUAAUUUUCAAGGACUCUUGAGAUGCUCUGUCAAUUAAACUGCCAUGCAAGCCCUUUUCCUGUUGGCCUGUAGCCAUUAUUUAAUACACUUUUAAUGCAGUCAUUAAAAUUUUGUUUUAGAAGAUAUUGUAUGACACAUGAUUUUUUUUUUUUCAUCAAAUGGCUUUCGCUACAAAAAGCAAAAGUAGAAGGUAGGUAGAACAUUUAUUGAAAAAAAAAUAGUUGGAUUUUUUUGAGGAAGAUUUUGAGAGAAUCUUUCAAUCUGUUACACUAUGCAUUGAUCACUUUUGAUGAAAUUGUGAAUUGAGCUUCAUUGGACAAAUAAUGCUAAAAAAGAACCAGACAACCAAAUAAAAAACCUGCAUACACUGAAUACCAUUCUGGAAAUCCUGCCUAUCAUGCAAAACUGAACAUACAGUUUCUCCUUGUCAGGACUGUAGGAUGGCAGUAAUAGCAGCGAUGUCCGCUAACCACAGGAAUGCUCUGAGCUGUAAGACUGUGUACGUUUGUUCAGUGUCCUUCAGUGAGGUGUACUGAAAUACAUAGUACACAGUGCCACAAUACUGUGGGUAUUGCAUGAUGCAGUUUCUCAGCAGGAGCUGAUGUGCUGCUUGCACUCAAAAGCCUGUGGCAGUUCUCUAAGAUACUGUAAGUCUUCAGUUCACCUCUGUCAGUAAGGAUCACUUCAUCUGCAGUUCAGGUAGCGAUGACAUUAUAAAUAAGAGGAAAAGUUUGAUAAUGUUCCAGUCCCAUUACCUGUGUUCUUCUUUCAGCAAGAACUGAGUUUUCAUGUGACUCCAUGCUGCUUUGCCAGGAACCUCAAUCUAUACAUAGGUCCAUGGUAUGGUUUCAGAAAGAUUGAGGAGCACCUUGUGUCGUGUUUGAGAUGCAGGUUUCAGGAGCAAUGUUGUUGCUGUUCUCAUAUAUAUAUAUAUAUAUAUAUUUAUUGCUGUCAUUAAGUUGCUUUCAAAGUUUAGUCUUAAUUUGUGGCCAGAAUUUACAACAUAUGUGAAGGCAAGCCUUCAUAGCUAGAACUCUCCUUUAGUGUCUUCAUACCGUUUACCUCUUGAACGUAAUGCAAGCCACAGUUUCCAAACUGUAAAAUCAACAGAGCCUGUUUAAUGGUUCUGAAAUAGCAACAGCUGAUGUCAUUCAUUUAGGAACAGAAAUUUUACUUCCGUUUUAAGAUUCAGCAGAGUUUUAGGAAACCAUCAGCCCUGAACCCGAUUGCACUGAUCUCCUUAGGUUGGCUUCUGAGUUUGGGCCCCAUGUUUUCUUCCCUCUACCUUAUAUUUACAUUUUUUUGCCAAGUAUAGCAGGGAAUAUAUAGAGCCAAGGUACCAAGAUUUGUGUUAUACUGUAGUGCAUUCCUUUCUCCCUUGUAUACACAAGGGCAGAUGCUUAGAGCUUACCUCCUGGAAUAAGUUUAGCCCUCUUCAGUCAUUUGCUACACUGCAGAAGAUCUUCGUAAUACCACAUACUCCAGAAUGAUAUAUUUUUUAUUUGUUUGCUGCUCAGUCAAUCAAUUGCUUGAUUUUCAAAGAAGCGGGAGUAUGAAGAAACGUUACAUUGUCCAUGUUUAUAUAUUUAUUACUUGGGGCAUUAAUACCUUCAUUUAGUCUAGUUCACAGCAGCCUGUCUCUCCAUGAAGUUGUCUUUCCAUAAGCGAUUAGGUUCUGCUGCUUAUUGCAUCUUGAAAAGUGUGAUAUAAAUUCAAGUCAGGGACAUGGUACUCUAGUUAAGGGACUGAGUGGAUCAUAAAGAAAAAUGAGAGGUGUAGCAAAUGUGUUUCCAAUCUCUGUAGUACAUAUAAUAGAAGGUUUUAUUCUACAAUUGUCAGAGAGGAUCUCAUUAGAGUUCAGACUUUCCUGUUCCUGAAAAAGUUCUCAUGUUGGGUACUUUAAAGGAAAGAGUUCACAGAGUUAAGAUUUAAGGGCAUAGGCUCCCUUCUAUUACAGCGAACUGUGAUCACAAUAGACUGAAAAGUUCGUAAGCUAUUUUGAAGACCGGAGUAAUAUGUACAAUUUUCUUUAUUCAGAAGCUCCUUCAUGAUGCAAGUGCACCUGCCGAGCUGCAGAAGGAAAGGAAUUUUCCAUUCUGUUGUCCUCCACCAGUCUCCAAACGUAGCUGCCUAAAAAUAAUGGACUGGAUCAACUUGAACAGAUCUUUUUUAAGAAACCUAUCCAGGACAGGCUUAGGAAUUUAGGAGCAUGAAAGCCUCAAAUGACUAAGUACGAGUUUUGAGUAAUCCAGUUGGAGGAAGUCUUAGCUGUGGUGGGUGAGGUGUCCAAAGCUGUCUGUUAAUAACUGUCAAAACUCGUGCUCUGUCUCAGAGCCCCUGUCCUGCUGCUGCAGGGAAAUUACACUCAUCUCCAUGCCACAGCCUUCCUGUGGUUUUGCAAGCUUGUGCCUUUUGUCUGUACUGACAGUACUAGAGAAGAUAUUGCUAUGUACUUUAGGGGAAAAAAAAAAGCAACAAAACUAGCAGGAAAACCUGAAAAAUCUGUGUCUGCAUCUCUAAUUCCAGUUGUCAGCCUCAGAAGAAAAUUAAAUUAUUUAAAAGUAAGGAAAACAAAGUAUACUUAAAGCAGAGUCCAUUUGCUACCAGAGGAGGUGGUGUGGGAAAUGAUGAUGAUAUUCAGAAAAAGGCUGUUGAGUUGUUGUUCAAGAAUUGUACCUUUGCAUCAUCUCCAAGCAGUUUUUCAAAAAGAAACAGAUGCCCCCAAACAUUACAGGAUUGAUUCCUUAAAAUAGCAUUUUGAAAUGCAAAUAAGUCAAUAAAUAGAUAUGUAAAUCAGGAAAAGAGAACGAUGGCACAGGCUUUGGUUGGAACAGCUUCUAACUUCGGAUAUUAUAUGCUUCAAAAUUAGUCAACAUAGCAUACUUUUUUAUUAUUGUUAUUAUUUUUAGUUUCCCUUUCUCUUGUGUUGACAUUUUGGGGUGGUUUGUUCAUGACACUUUUUUUCUUCCAUUUUUUGAAAAGCCCCGAACUUGCUUAUAAAAAACCUCAUGAUAUAUUUGCAAUAUUCAGAAUUACUCAAGCUAUCUACUUGUCAUGAAGCUGGCUCUCCAUCCCCUGAGGGGUGCAGGUUUGUCACAGAGGGAGGAUGCUUUUUGCUGGAGCUGGUAUCUGGAGAGAAGCAGUUCCCAGGAGCUGGCAGGCAGCUUGGGCAGCAGCGUGCUGCAGCCUCCUUGGUUUAGAUCAUAGCACAGCAAAACUGUGGAAAGCUGGCCCUUUCCUUUUGCCCAUAAAAUCUGUAAAAUGUCCUUUUUCCCCCAAAUUGUAAGCAGUCUUUAUCAGUAUGGUAUUUCGUUUUCUAAAUUGAAAAUUGAAACAAUAUUUUUCUGAUUUGCAUUUAAAAUGAAAUAUUCCUGAAUUGUUCUUUUAGACCUUACAUGUAUUCCUUGUGAAUUUGGUAAACUUCUGCAAGAGAUGGAAAUUAAACAAACAAACAAAAAACCUUGAAAUGGGUCAGAGGAGAGGGUUGGUGGAAAGGCCCAGCUUCUGGAGAAAUUCGCUCCAGCGUGACACAGCAAACACUUAGCAUAUGUUUGACUGUAAAGAAUAUUUUGAUAGACUGGUAGAUGCAUUUACUUUAAUUCUCAGAUGCGUAUCAUAUAUAGCCAGUGGGAGAAUAAUCUUUGAAAAAUCUGAUGCUUUCUAAACUCAAAUAUCGAAAUUUGAAAUGUACUAACAACACAUUAGAGAAAAUCAUGGAAGCUUUUUGUGGUAGAUUGGGUCUUCCUGUUUUAUAACUUCUGGGCUUGAUUACUAAAUGUUUUUUAGGCUUCUAGUGAUAUAUCUAAUCAUUUACUUUGAGAUCUCUUAAAUAGUCCUUCUCACUGCAGAAUUAAUAUCUAUGAAGCCAUUAUAUCCAAGAUUUCUGAAUUUCUGAAAGUCUAGUUUUAUUUUUUUGCUUGUGUUUUUAAGUUACAAUUUAAUGACUUAAUAACUUCUAAGACAGCAACAAAAUACCACUUAUUGGAGAAAUGAACUAAUCUUAAUUGUUUUCUGGUUGUAGCCACUGAGAUUAUUUUUCUUGGAUAUGAAAAAUAAUAUGAAAUAUGACAAGCUUAACUUGUGUUAGAAAGCAGAUAAUUGCUGCUGCCUUCUACAUGGCAUGAAAGUUGCAGGUCUGGGCUGGAGUGUAGCUCUCCACUUCUAAUAAACAUGACAGCGUACUAGGAUUUGUGGCUUUUUAUGCUCAUGGGUGAGACUGAUGGUUCCAUAAACUGGAUAGCUCGUCUGAGACAGAUUCCCAUGUAAAAUAUAUGCGUAUAUGUCAGUUGUACAUAUAGACAGAUGAUUAGAAGAUCUUCCUUUCUCCACAUUUCCAAUACUGCCAAUUACUCUAAGUGUAUCCUUUUGGCUAAGGAAAUGAAGUAUCCAAACACUCUUGUAAGCAUUGUAGUGGUCAGCAAGUGUCAAAUUCAUUGCUAUUGGAAAUUACUUCUGUUGGUAAUUACUAAACGCAGAGAGAAGAGCCUGAACUGGAACCAAGAUUGACAUUUGGACUUAAUAAUAUAAUGAGGCUUUAAUAAGCUUGUAAUAGGCAGCCUCGCAAAAUGAAAUGAGCAAAGAUUACAAACACAUACAUCAGUUCCCUGGAUCUUAAAUACAUAAAUUGUAUUAAUCUCUAUUGAUAAAAAUUAAUUGCUUAUUUUAUAUGGCCCAGAUGUAAUUAUAGAUCAAGAUAAUAUUUCUUAAUAGGCAUUUUAUAAAAAGGUCUACAGUAUGAGCUUUUAAUUAUUAUUUUUUAGUAAUGCUUGAUUUCUUCUGGGCAACAGUCAAGUCUUCCAAGUCUUGUCUACUUCGUAAGUGUUUGCUUUAUCUGGAUGACCACUGGCAGCACUACGGAUAGGCUCCUUCCCUAAGCUUAGCUCUUUUUACACACACACAAAAAACAAAUUAAUAUCAGCGUUUUGCAUUUAUACCAAACAGGUCUAAGCAAAACAAGCAGAUGUUGUAUAUGGAUCAUUGAAGGUCCUUUUUCCUCUUUGUUGCUCAGUUUUCUCUGAAGUCACUCUUUAUACUUCUUCUCUGAUUGUCUGAGUAUUAUAAGCUUUCUACUGAAAUAGGUUCUAAAGAUCUUUUGUAGAAGAGAAUUUUGGAAGAAAAAGAAGAAAAAAGAUCACACCAAAUACUAAGUACUAUACUGGUCUUGAAAAAAAACGUUGUGAACCUUAACCUCAAUGCACAUAGCUUGCAAUAUAUGCAAGCGAUUGAGGUGAGGUACUAUUUUUUUUUUUUCUUCAUUAGGAUUUUUUUGAAAUGUUUUGGCAAUAUGUACUGUAUGUGUAACACUCAUUCUUGAGUUUAGUUUUCCUGGCUAAUUUAUGAGGGCUACUGAAAAUAAUGCCUCCUAUUUUUUUCAUUGGCCCACGAUGUCAGAGGCAGAUGUUGGUGGGAGCAGAGGCUGAACCUUCCCACCAAUAUCCCAUUACUUUUUGUUGCCAUACAAAAUUGAUGUAAAAGGGCCAUCUUCAUAGACACACAUCUACCUGAUGGUCAUAUUAAGGUGAUGUCUUUGCUCUAAAGCAGUAAAGGUGUGCAGCAAGGAAAAACUAAGAAUUUUGAACGUGACCAAUAUUUUAAAUUUGCAGAAUUAAUGUAUAUUUGCUUUUUAUCAACUCUUGUCAUACUUCUCUGACUUCAUCAAGUAAAUUAAGAGGCAUCUCCCAGGGAAAAGAAAAGCUUAUGAAAAAAGAAAUGAUGUAAAUUUUUCUAGUGAAAGAAGAGAAAUUAUAAAUCACUGUUUUCAGGGGCUUAUUGCUGGUUUUUAUUUGCUUAUACAUGCAGCUAUUUUUUAUUAAUGUUGAAACCAGCAGCCUCUAGCGUGAUAAAGCUGACUUGAUGGAUGGGAAGUAAAAGCAGUGACCACCAAAUGGGAAGAUGGACAUAUUUUAAUGAGGUUGGGAAUGUAUAAUACUGCAUAUAUUGUUGGCUCUGGUCACAAAUACAUCUCCUGUUGCUGUUCUCUCUGUUUUGUUUUUGUUGAAAACUCGGCAUUGUUUCUUCUCAUUAACAUAAGGUAACUGGGAUAAGUUUCAUAUUACCAUUCACCAUUCCCACUUGACUUGACAUUUUCGUAGUUCAGAUGAGGCUCUAAUAACCUUUCUAAGCUCUAAUGAUGUCCGUUCAAUAAAUGAGAUUUGAGCAAUGCUACCAUGGUAAAUAGUGUACUUGUUCCUCAUUACAAAAAAAAAGAAGUUGCUAUCAGAAUGGAUAUUUUGCAUUUUAAGGAAAAAAAAAACCAACAAAAAAUAGAAUUAUUGGUAACAAGCACGGUUGCCUUGAUAGUUUUUUUGAACUUGACUGUUUUGUUCUGCACUGCUAUUUGCUCCUUUGUCUUAAAGCAAUAUUUAUCCAGCAAAUUUGCAAACAUAUCGUAGUUUCCUGUUACAUUCUUAUUUUGCAGAAUAAGAAAAUGGUGUCAGGAGUUUUUUUUGCAUGAGCUGGGCAUUGCAGGAAGGAUGGUUAGCCAUGCUUACAUGCUGCAAGUGUUCCUCUUAUGGGCCACAGCUGAUGACACACAUCUACUCUAAGAGUAUAAAUAGUGAAAAAAAAAAGGAAAGGGGAGGGAGAAUAAAUGGAAAACUCCCACUGGCCAGCUGUGGGAGGGCUGGGGCUCCCGGAUGAGUCUCACCAGUGCUGCAGCUCCCUGAGUGCUCUGGGAUCCUCCUUCAGCUGGAGGUGACCCUGGGCUGCUGAGCUUCAUGCGUGCUUCACGCCAGGUCAUGCUUAUCAGCUACUUACAUGGCUAUUAGCUACCUUGUAAUUAAUUAAGCCCUGUUUUCCUCUAGUACGAAGAAAAAGCAACAAGGGGAGGGGGCCGUGGGAAUAAUAGGGGGAACAUUGGCAUGGGAGCAGGGGAAACCUCCGGCUGAGGUGUAGGGCCCUUAGCAUUCCUGAGACAUUGAAUCCUCUGUAAAAAGAGAUAAACAGUUAGAAAAGCCAUGGCAGGCAAAAUAGUCUGAGGGAAAAUAGAGUAGUCCUUGAGAACUUUUUUUAGUAGUUUUUUUUUCUUUGGCUUCAAUCCUUUUUCCAUGCUUUACUAAAUGAUGGCUUGAGGAAAAAGAGCAAAAGAUAUUUUUGCUGCACAACUAAAUGUGGGAAGAAUCUAAAUGGUGAAGAAUACUCCUGGGGAGAAAAUGAGAGAGUACAUGCUCCAUCUGUGAGGAUUUUCCUGUUUGUUAGCACUCUCUUGGGCCUUUUCAUUUCUAAUGUUCUGUGCUGGUAAUCUGGUAACUUUUUGCAAAUCAUUCGGUUGAAAGUGAAAGAACCAUGGUACCAAACAGUGAGUAUCAGUGCUGAGCAUGCUGGUAACCUUUAUGGAUUCUGGAAAAGAGUAGCUGAGUGAAAACACCCUGGUGAGUGUAGACCUUCUGCAUACAUUUGUCUGCACAUGGAGAUCUUGCUUCCAUGGUUCUGUUUACCCCUGGUGCGGUUUGGCCCAGCAGCAGCUCAGCACCACGUGGCCAUUUGCUCACUCCCCCCUCCCAGUGAAAUGGGGAAAAGAAUCAGGAAAAAGAAUGAGAUAAAAACUAAGACAGAAAAGGAAGUGAGAAAUAUUAGUAAUGGAUAAUAUAUAUAUAUGUACACACGCAUGUGUGCGUGUAUAUAUACAUAACAAAUGACACAAAAGGAAUUGAUCGCCACCUGCCCACUGAUGCCCAAGCCUGCCCAUUGGUCCCCAAGCAGUGUUGCCCCCUGGCCAACUCUCCUUGAUUUUUUUGUUUUCUUACAUGAUGUCAUGGAAAAUCCCUUUGGCCAGUUUGAGUCAGCUGCCCCGGUUCUGUCCCCUCCCAUCUCCUUGUGCUCCUCAGCCCUCACUGGUAGGGCAGUAUGAGAAGCUGAAGCUUCCUUGGCCUUGUGCAGAACUGCUCAGCAACAACUAAAACAAUCGCUGUAUUCUCAACAUUGUUUUCCUUCUAAAGCCAAAGCAUACCAUCACAGGAGACACUAUGAAGAAAAUAAAGUCUGUCCCAGCAGAAAGCAGGACAACACCCUAGAGGCAGAGUUUACUCAUCUAUAUAAUGAUGUGAGUAAACAAACGAGGUCUUUUCUCAGCAGAAUCAAUGCCACGAAUAGGCCAGGUGAAAUAAGAGCUCCCCAUCUGAUCAAGAGCUUCAGCUUACGGAGAACCUGGCAAGGAAACCUUAUGUUGCUACUGAGAGUUGCAGGAUAUGGGGAAGACCCUAUUCCAGUCUCUUGACUGUAUGGAUGUAAGCAGGAGAGGCAUUAUGUGGGGUGAGCCUGAACAUGUUACCCUUUCUAAUUACAGUAGCAUCCUGUGAAUUUUAGUGUACUGAAUUAAAUUGGACUUGAAUGGCUGAUUGGAUUGUAUUGGGAUACCAGUUGGCACCUAGCAAUUUCAGCAUCUCUAAGAGCAUGGCAGUGUUAAGACAGAACUAAGCAGUAUUUCCUUGCAAAGACAGAUUCAGAGAUAAUUUAUGUGUUUGUUUUAUGGAAAGAACAAAGCAUUUCUAACAGUCAGUGAAUUAGUAUCUUCUGUAGAACACAACUGUGGUUUACAUCCUCUGGCUGAGUAUGGCAGCAGCUUCUCCCGCUGAUAUUUAUAUGUUAAUAAAAUAGCAAAAUAAUAAAACAAAAACAAGGGUGUGUUUUUAACUUAUAUUGCUCAUAUUAGAUCCUGCUUACAGACAGCUACUGCUUUUUUCCCCGUCCAGCUUUAUACACUGAAAAAAUAGUUAUAAAAUAGUAAGAAAGCUUCCUUAAAUUUGGUUUUCUGUAAGUUAUGUUCACACUUUUAAAAAAUAGUGUGUAAUUUCUUAAUCUGUUUUCCCUGCCAAACUGGUUGUCUUAUUCAACAAUAAAUUGAAUGCAAAGCUUCCCCCAGGCAGAGACAGAAUACCAACCCCUGAAUGUCUGGCAGCUUAAUUGACAUGUGGUGGUAGCCUUAGGCAGAAGUUAAUUUCUACCCUGUUUAUAUACACACAUAUACUUUUCAUAAAGCAUGCAGGCAGUAGUGCAGAUAAAUUAAGUCUAAUUCAUGCCGUAGUUCGCAGGUAUACACUUGCUGAAAUGACAUGAAGCCAUUUGCUUUUAUGAGUGAAGGAGUUCCUCACAAUUAACAAAUGUCUCAGCCUUCUAGGAACAGUAUGUUUCCAAGCACAAGGUUUUCUGGGUGUUAUUUUUCUUCAGUUGCCACCCAGUGAAUGCAGCAAUCUCUAAAAGUAAAACCAAGGGCUUCAGCCCUAGUUCCUGGAAGAUGUCCCAGCGCCCUGAAAGCGGCCGUUCAUGACGCAGGUUCCCAGGCAGCCUGGUCGUGCACGUGUACCCUUCAUUCGUGGAAGUGCUGUGUGUGCCUAACUCGCAGUCAGUUAAGUGCCAGGCCUCCUUCGCAGUGUGCAACUCAUGCUCCACUGGGUGUCAGGUAAAUUGAAGUCAGUGAACGAAGUCUAAGCUCCGGCAGCCAAACGUCUAACUUUGAGAAGGAAUGUUUCUUCUCAGUAAAUUGAAGUUUUUACCAGCUGUGGAGCUGGCCCAUUUCUCUUACUCUACCGGUCCUUCAUAUAUAUCAUAAUGAAAGGUCCUGGCUUUAUAAGGCUAAUGUAUUAGAGCUAUUCAAUUAUACCUAUCAGUGCUAUAGGCAGAGAAAUUAUUUAUGAAGUUAAUGAUCUGAAGUGCACCAUUUGAAAUGGAUAUAUAUGUUCAUAAAAUGAGUAUCAUUCACCCUGGUAGGAAAGAGUCUAUAAAUCAAAGUUCAGAAUGUAGUUUCUGUAGUCAGUGGGAAUCCAUGUGAUUCUGAGUAUGGGAACAACUGGAUUUAUUAAAAAAAGUGUGUGUAUUUUUAUAUUUAAGUAUUUCAAUGUACGUAGCUUUGAAUAUCACAUUUCUAGGUGACAAGGAAGCAACCGGUUUGAAUUACCCUGGUUCUUAAAGCGAACUUAUCCUUUUUUUCUUUGAUUUCACAAUACAUAGAGUCUUGUUUUAAUUCUGAGUGAAAAAACUGGUUGGAUGAUGCAAAUCACCAGCUACAAUAGAAGUCAUCAUAGGGUCUAGGCUUUUCUGAACUAUUCAGGAAUUACAGAAGGCUGGCAUUAGAGUAACUCCACAGGAGCAUUACCUUUACACAGAUACAAGUUGAAAAUCUUCAUGAUCAGAGAGUCAAGAGCAGCAGCUAAUUGUGAGCUACUUGCUUGUAGGUAGCAUGGUGGGAAGUGAGGGUGUGCUUGAGGCACGGCUGGCUGCUGCCGGGUGGUUGGAGAGCUCCUGCUGAAGUCAGUGGGCCAGGGGUGGUUCCGUCUGCAGGGUCAGGAUCUCAGGUAGGAAUCACUAGGAGCUCUCCUUUAGUUCUUGCUUUGUGCAGUACACAUACCGUGAUUCUCAUAAUAGUUAUCAGCAAAGCAUGGACCAGUUCUGCUCACAGACAGAACACCAAACUAUUCUCUGAUGGUGGCAUUCAAAGAAAGAAGUUUGACAGUUAUCUGCAAGUGGUGUGGUGGUGUACCCAUGUUAUGAAGUCUCACUAUAUUUAGCUCUUUUCUAUGCUCAAAUAUGUCAAGCAGGGUGGUACAAACAGGUUACUCUCCUGAGUUUGUGUUGCCCCUGCAUUUUGACUGUUCAUUGCUGGUGCUUUUCAUCAAGGAAAUGUGUCAGCAGCGCGUGAGGUACCGUGUUAGAUGUAUGGAAACUACCCACAGCAAAUCACCUGCAGGCAAUCUGCAAAACCCUUCUGUGCUCCACUGCUAAAAUUAAGUUUAUGGAUAAUUUAUCACCUACUUGUCUCUUGAAUAAAUUACACAUACAAAUGAAGACAGAAAAACUGUAACAAGUGCUUUUGACUGGCAAAUACAAAUGUGAGAAUCUCUUAUCAAAUAUCUAGCAGAGUUCUUAUCAAAUAUCUAACAGACUUCUAUUUAGCAGUUGGUGAUUGUGAACAAGUGAUUCCUGCUUGUAGCUAUUGUUUUUGCAGUACAAAUAUUAAAUGUUUUUUCACUCCCGUGGUAAAUUAGAAAUUAUCUAUUGUAUUUGACAUGUCAAAACAAGCUGAUUUAUCAAAUAAAAUAAAACUUGGAAUUCCAUCUCAA